GAUGAACGCUAGCUACAGGCUUAACACAUGCAAGUCGAGGGGAAACGAUGAGAGAGCUUGCUCUCUUAGUCGUCGACCGGCGCACGGGUGAGUAACGCGUAUCCAACCUGCCUCUGACCAAGGGAUAACCCGUCGAAAGUCGGACUAAUACCUUAUGCAGUCGUCGGAAGUCAUCUGAUGACGACGAAAGAUUUCAUCGGUGAGAGAUGGGGAUGCGUCUGAUUAGCUUGUUGGCGGGGUAACGGUCCACCAAGGCGACGAUCAGUAGGGGUUCUGAGAGGAAGGUCCCCCACAUUGGAACUGAGACACGGUCCAAACUCCUACGGGAGGCUGCAGUGAGGAAUAUUGGUCAAUGGGCGUAAGCCUGAACCAGCCAAGUAGCGUGCAGGAUGACGGCCCUAUGGGUUGUAAACUGCUUUUAUGCGGGGAUAAAGUGAGGGACGUGUCCUUCAUUGCAGGUACCGCAUGAAUAAGGACCGGCUAAUUCCGUG
rnacentral:rRNA from 1 species